rnacentral:rRNA from 1 species
GACGAACGCUGGCGGCGUGCUUAACACAUGCAAGUCGAACGGAAAGGCCCUGCUUUUGUGGGGUGCUCGAGUGGCGAACGGGUGAGUAACACGUGAGUAACCUGCCCUUGACUUUGGGAUAACUUCAGGAAACUGGGGCUAAUACCGGAUAGGAGCUCCUGCUGCAUGGUGGGGGUUGGAAAGUUUCGGCGGUUGGGGAUGGACUCGCGGGUUAUCAGCUUGUUGGUGGGGUAGUGGCUUACCAAGGCUUUGACGGGUAGCCGGCCUGAGAGGGUGACCGGCCACAUUGGGACUGAGGUACGGCCCAGACUCCUACGGGAGGCAGCAGUGGGGAAUAUUGCACAAUGGGCGGAAGCCUGAUGCAGCAACGCCGCGUGCGGGAUGACGGCCUUCGGGUUGUAAACCGCUUUCGCCUGUGACGAAGCGUGAGUGACGGUAAUGGGUAAAGAAGCACCGGCUAACUACGUG